rnacentral:lncRNA from 1 species
UAUACACAUGCAUAUAUAGGUUUUUAUGUUUAUACGUACGUAUGUGUAUGUAUAUAUAAAACACAUGUAAAACAAUAUGGUAUGGAAUAUAUAUGCAGGGAAAUGUAUAGGAUAUAAAUACUGUAGUGAUAUCUUUGUGGUUCACUCAUUCAUUCUCUUCCAGGUUCACUUCCUUGAAAGUGAAGAAAGUGAAAGAAACCUUUCUUGACUACUCCAUGGGCAAUAACAACCCCACCUACUCUUUUUUCUUAACAGGAAUUAGUUUAUUCAUGGAUGCUCAGGUUCAACAGGAGAUGAGAGAGGAACAAGGAGAUGAUGGAGCAAUGGGAGACAGAACAGGAGGAUGUGAUUGAUUGUGUCAACAACAAAAGUGAACUUGAAGAAGAAGAUGAGAACAGAGCCAAGCAGUUAAGAUGCCUCAGUACAGCACGCUCUGAUGUAUUCCCUCGGUUGUAAUGAGUUUUCCCCAGUGCCCUGAGGGCUGCAGUUCUUCGUUGUCGUUUAUUCCCAGAGAGUAAGGAUUUAGUUCAGCAGUGGACAGGGAAGAGGAUCCAAGUGGAGUUUCUCGUCCCUCCUGCUCAGCUGCUUUCUCUUAG